rfam:Tetranychus urticae London genomic scaffold, scaffold_8
GACUAGGUGGCGCAACGGUAGCGCGUCUGACUCCAGAUCAGAAGGUUGCGUGUUCAAAUCACGUCCUGGUCA